UUUUUACUCCCAUCGUCCGAAAAUUCUUGUCUUAAAUUUGUCUAAAUAUAGAUGUAUCUAGUUACAUUUUAGUGUUAGAUACAUCCAUAUCAAAACAAAUGUAAGACAAGAAUUUUGGGAAGGAGGGAAUACAAC
rfam:Triticum aestivum genome assembly, contig: Triticum_aestivum_CS42_TGACv1_scaffold_423350_5BS